rnacentral:rRNA from 1 species
CACGUAGGGGGCGAGCGUUGUCCGGAUUUAUUGGGCGUAAAGGGCUCGUAGGUGGCCAACUAAGUCAGACGUGAAAUCCCUCGGCUUAACCGGGGAACUGCGUCUGAUACUGGAUGGCUUGAGUUCGGGAGAGGGAUGCGGAAUUCCAGGUGUAGCGGUGAAAUGCGUAGAUAUCUGGAGGAACACCGGUGGCGAAGGCGGCAUCCUGGACCGACAUUGACGCUGAGGCGCGAAAGCCAGGGGAGCAAACGGG